rnacentral:rRNA from 1 species
AACGAACGCUGGCGGCAGGCCUAACACAUGCAAGUCGAGCGAACCCUUCGGGGUUAGCGGCGGACGGGUGAGUAACGCGUGGGAACGUGCCCUUUGCUACGGAAUAGCCCCGGGAAACUGGGAGUAAUACCGUAUGUGCCCUUCGGGGGAAAGAUUUAUCGGCAAAGGAUCGGCCCGCGUUGGAUUAGGUAGUUGGUGGGGUAAUGGCCUACCAAGCCGACGAUCCAUAGCUGGUUUGAGAGGAUGAUCAGCCACACUGGGACUGAGACACGGCCCAGACUCCUACGGGAGGCAGCAGUGGGGAAUCUUAGACAAUGGGCGCAAGCCUGAUCUAGCCAUGCCGCGUGAUCGAUGAAGGCCUUAGGGUUGUAAAGAUCUUUCAGUGGGGAAGAUAAUGACUGUACCCACAGAAGAAGCCCGGCUAACUCCGUG